GGCGCUUUGCUGAUUCUAAGAGACGGGGUGAAUGGUAAGCGACUUCAUACAGCCCCUGAACGCACACGGCAGGGGAGUACGACCUGGCAUUCACAACGCAUUCACAACGAAUCAACUAAUCGCCGAUUCGUUUUGCAAGGCAGAGGAAGUGAAAAGCACAUUAUAGCGAUAGGUGCGUGCAUGCGUAGCGAUGCUUGCAUGCAUACUUCCUUACUGAAGAACGCUUUUUUGAGGUCCAAACGCAGCAAAAUUUGUAUUUGUUGCUCGUGAGGUCGUACAAUCCUAUAAUUUAUACCAGGCUAGGUUAGUCCGACUUCAUGUCGGGCUCCGGCUCGGCCCAACUAAUGGUCAACACGCACCGCCGAUCUACACGCCCUGGCCAUGAUCGGCUGUGCACUACGAAUCCGGCAAAGACGAUAGUUAUAGUUGCCCAAUCAUUAGCAACUUAAACGUUACAGACAGACAAGUUUACGCAAGCAACAAUUCGCCCUGUGCCCUGCGCCACAGUCCACCGUACGCAUCGACCGGCAUGCACUGCACUGCGCACUGUUCGAAAAGUAAGAUGCCGAUAGUAAACUGUCGGGUCUCUCAGAGUUCGUUGUAACUGUUCCUCAAAAAUGUCCUCGAUGUCGAUGUUCCUCUAAAUUGAUGGCCUAAUUUGCAUACCAAGCCAUAUGUACUGAGAAGAGCUAUGAACCGAUGCCCACCUCGCGCCUUUGCGCGCGGUGGGGAGGCCAAAUAUGAGUAUAUUCCACUAAGGUGGGACGCACUUCCGCUACCCACUGACAAAUAUACUACCAAAGAUUUUCAAAAUUACACAAUGAUUAUGCCCGCAUGAAGAGCAUGCGACGAGCAUGCGAUGAGUACCAAUUUCAAAUACCCAACUGCCCACCUGCAAAUGUACUACCAACGAUUUGUAGAAGACAUGAAUACAUCGCCUGAAAGUCAGCAAUGACAGCCAUAGUAUUACAAUUUGAAAUCCUAAAUACCCUUUUGAGUCAUUCGUUACUGACCUGUAGUCUUACCAUAUAGCUGUUAAAUAAAGCUUGCGCAUUCCUAAGCAGUCAAUGCGGUCCCCAACUACACGCGCACCGAAUGUUAUCACACCGGCCCGCAACCCCGUGACCGCGGGGACGAAGCAGGCAUAUGAUGAGCAAGAAAAGAUUAGGGACGCUUUAAAGCGCUUCGUAAAGCGAAUCAAGGCCCUCGGUCGCCGUUUCCCUGAGAGAGACUACGGCUUCCAUCCAUCUGGCUAUCCGAAAAUUCCCUUCGGUGCUAUACUUUUGUACACGCGGCCCUCCUAUAGCGGAGUGGCAUUCAGCGUGUCAGGCUGGAUGGAGUGUUCAGAGGCUCGCAGGCUCGCUCAUGGUUUCUGCGAAUAGCUUCAGGCUCUAAAAAUACUUAGGUAUCCAAAGCGAGUAUACGCGGGACGACGGAAGGCAGUGCGGGCAAUGACCACGCAGCACAAAAGUCGCUUCCUGAGGAAGCUGGGCCGGAAGGCAGCUUCAGUCAUCU
rnacentral:lncRNA from 1 species